rnacentral:RNase_P_RNA from 2 species
UUCGGGAGGGGCAUGAUCGCUUCGCGUUCGCGCGGGGAGGAAAGUCCGGACUCCACAGGGCAGGAUAUCCCCAGGGCCGCCUUUGAGCGGGGAGGGGAACGGCAGGCGAAAAGCCUGUUGAUGGCUAGUGCCACAGAAACAAUACCGCCUCGCAUCUGCGGGGUAAGGGUGAAACGGCGGUGUAAGAGACCACCGGGUGGAUCCGCAAGGGUCGCCGCAGGUAAACCCUAUCUGGAGCAAGAUCAAAUAGGAAGCGAGAGGCGGCCCGCCUCGUUGCCUUCGGGCUGAAAGCUUCGGGUUGAUCGCAUAUGCUGACAUCAGCGAGAUAAAUGAUCAUGGCCUCGCAGUUGCGGGGAACAGAAUUCGGCUUACAACCUCCCGAGCCAC